UACGUAGGGUGCGAGCGUUAAUCGGAAUUACUGGGCGUAAAGCGUGCGCAGGCGGUUUUGUAAGACAGGCGUGAAAUCCCCGGGCUCAACCUGGGAAUUGCGCUUGUGACUGCAAGGCUAGAGUGCGUCAGAGGGGGGUAGAAUUCCACGUGUAGCAGUGAAAUGCGUAGAGAUGUGGAGGAAUACCGAUGGCGAAGGCAGCCCCCUGGGACGUGACUGACGCUCAUGCACGAAAGCGUGGGGAG
rnacentral:rRNA from 1 species